rnacentral:rRNA from 1 species
GGGGAAGGGUAGCUUGCUACCUAACCUAGCGGCGGACGGGUGAGUAAUGCUUAGGAAUCUGCCUAUUAGUGGGGGACAACAUUCCGAAAGGAAUGCUAAUACCGCAUACGCCCUACGGGGGAAAGCAGGGGAUCUUCGGACCUUGCGCUAAUAGAUGAGCCUAAGUCAGAUUAGCUAGUUGGUGGGGUAAAGGCCUACCAAGGCGACGAUCUGUAGCGGGUCUGAGAGGAUGAUCCGCCACACUGGGACUGAGACACGGCCCAGACUCCUACGGGUGGCAGCAGUGGGGAAUAUUGGACAAUGGGCGCAAGCCUGAUCCAGCCAUGCCGCGUGUGUGAAGAAGGCCUUUUGGUUGUAAAGCACUUUAAGCGAGGAGGAGGCUACCGAGAUUAAUACUCUAGGAUAGUGGACGUUACUCGCAGAAUAAGCACCGGCUAACUCUGUGCCAGCAGCCGCGGUAAUACAGAGGGUGCGAGCGUUAAUCGGAUUUACUGGGCGUAAAGCGUGCGUAGGCGGCUUUUUAAGUCGGAUGUGAAAUCCCUGAGCUUAACUUAGGAAUUGCAUUCGAUACUGGGAAGCUAGAGUAUGGGAGAGGAUGGUAGAAUUCCAGGUGUAGCGGUGAAAUGCGUAGAGAUCUGGAGGAAUACCGAUGGCGAAGGCAGCCAUCUGGCCUAAUACUGACGCUGAGGUACGAAAGCAUGGGGAGCAAGCAGGAUUAGAUACCCUGGUAGUCCAUGCCGUAAACGAUGUCU